UACGGAGGGUGCAAGCGUUGUCCGGAUUUAUUGGGUUUAAAGGGUGCGUAGGCGGUUUUUUAAGUCAGCGGUGAAAGCCUCCAGCUUAACUGGAGAAAUGCCAUCGAUACUGGGAAACUUGAGUACAGACGAGGUAGGCGGAAUUGACAGUGUAGCGGUGAAAUGCAUAGAUAUUGUCAAGAACACCGAUUGCGAAGGCAGCUUACUAGACUGUAACUGACGCUGAGGCACGAAAGUGUGGGGAUCAAACAGG
rnacentral:rRNA from 1 species